UACAGAGGAGCCAAGCGUUGUCCGGAUUUACUGGGCGUAAAGCGCACGCAGGCGGUUGGUUAAGGCUGCUGGUAAAGCCCCGAGCUCAACUUGGGAAUGGCAUUGGAAACUGGCUGGCUAGAGUGUGGCAGAGGGGGGUGGAAUUCCGCGUGUAGCAGUGAAAUGCGUAGAGAUGCGGAGGAACACCGAUGGCGAAGGCAGCCCCCUGGGCUGACACUGACGCUCAGGCACGAAAGCGUGGGGAGCAAACAGG
rnacentral:rRNA from 1 species